AUGCUUUUUCCUUCCCACUCUGGAGAAACUGCCUCUGUGCCAGUACAGGUUGGACUCCUCCAACUGUACCAGUGGGACCGGUUAAGGAGGCAGGAGAAAGCCAGCUGUUUUGCUUACCUUUCUACAUUCCUUUCUUAAGAGGAUGAACUACUCAUUUGGGAACCAAACGUAUGUGUCAGUUUAACGUGCAGCUUCAGGCUACAGUCUUCCAUGGCAAUUUCUGGUGACUAGUGAAUCAAGCUGGACCAACUUGAAGUUGAUAUUUCUUUCCAAAAGUACAAAACACUCAUAAGAUAAAUUGAUAUCCUUCAGGCAAGUGGAAUAUGGUACUGCUCCCACGUUUUCUGCAUUUAGGCAUUCACCAGUCGGUAAC
rnacentral:lncRNA from 1 species